UGCAAGUUGGCCAUGCUGGUACUCUGGACCCUAUGGCCACUGGAUUGUUGAUUGUUUGUGUGGGCAAAGCAACCAAAGUUGUUGAUAGAUAUCAAGGCAUGUUUAAAGGCUAUAGUGGUGUUUUCCGGCUUGGGGAAGCAACAUCAACCUGGGAUGCAAAUUCACCAGAGUGUAGCAGCCUCGACGCAGCGACUGAGUCACUCCUGAAUGUGCGGAGAAGCAGUGCCGCCUAGCCGGCGAAGUGGCUGAUAGCGGGAAGUCUGCCAUCGAUCACAGCAAUAUCCACAGUCGAGAAGCAGAGUAUGCUUCCUGUUCCGAUGCUGAGAUCUCAGUUCGCCGCCGCCGCUCCCUCUGUCCUUCAUCAGUCCCUCCUUCCUCAAGGCCGACGCCUCCCCGGACGAAGCGGGCGGUUGCCCUCCUUGAAUUCAACACUGACCGUCCCGUGCCUUUUUCCUCCGUUUACCCGGGGCUGUGGGGGCUUCAUGCAGUGAGAGCUCGGUGUCGUGUCCGCCUGCUGAACGGCAAGCUGGAGCUGCAGGUCGCUGAACAAGGUGGUCCUACUGUGAGGAUCUCAUCUCUCACUCUAUGUGUGUAUCCCUCAGUCCCGUUCCCCUUUAUGAUGAAGCCCAUCCAUUUGUCUAUUCUUCGUCAGGGUCACAAAGUCUGUGCCAGGAUUCUUUCCUUUAUAAAUAUGAAAGCGGGUUGUACGAUCUAUUCACAGACUUGCUCGACUGCUUUGUAGCCCAACUGAUUAUGUACUCUUGAUCGUCCUGAUGGAAUCUAUCAACUCCAUUGUGAAUCAUCUCUUUAUAUUAAGCCAGUACUCGCUAUGCUAGAAUGAUAGAUGAUAUAGUAAAUACAUCUUUUCUUUUUACAAGGCUCAUAUCAUAAGGAAUGUCGUGUCCUGUGAACCAAGUUCAGUACAUUGUCUAUUAAAUAUAUUCCU